CGGCGGACGGGUGAGUAACACGUGGAUAACCUACCUAUAAGACUGGGAUAACUUCGGGAAACCGGAGCUAAUACCGGAUAAUAUAUUGAACCGCAUGGUUCAAUAGUGAAAGACGGUUUUGCUGUCACUUAUAGAUGGAUCCGCGCCGCAUUAGCUAGUUGGUAAGGUAACGGCUUACCAAGGCGACGAUACGUAGCCGACCUGAGAGGGUGAUCGGCCACACUGGAACUGAGACACGGUCCAG
rnacentral:rRNA from 1 species